rnacentral:lncRNA from 1 species
UUCGAAGAGAAUUUUUCAUUCAAUAAUCCAUAAAGUCUUGAUAAAAUUACAUAGUAGAAUAAAUAACCUAUUUAUACCAAGGCUAUAAAAUCUAGGAAAUAUGAUAAAUACUAAAAAAAAAAGGGAAAACAAACUCCUAAAAAUAUAAGAUUAUCAAAGUUUAGGGUUUUAAUUAAGGUAUAAUUUGUCGCGCAAAAUUCUGGAACAAUCUGCCCGAUUUACUGAAGGCGACCGCAUGGCUAUUUUAUAUGCGGUCGCAUGGUUGCCAAGAAAUGCGCCAUCCAAUUCCUUGCUAGUCGUUUAUCAUUACGAUAGGUGUCAAGUGAAAGUGCAAUGAUGUAUACAACUGAGGCAUCCUAAUAGACCGGUAGACUUGAAACUUGCUUGACAGUCGCUAAAGGAAAAUAGAAUAAGGAGAUGUUGAUCGGAUGCUUCUAGAAGAAGAAGAUUGGAUGAAGCAAGGAUAUUUAGAGAUCUCUCAGUGGCUUGAUUCUCGUGGAGCUAAGCUAAAAGUCGGUUGUUGGGUCUCUCAAAUAAAAGAUGGGCUUAACGGGGCAGGACACAGGCUGUGCGGCCGCAUACUGGUGACAAUUGUGCGAUCGCAUGGCUGUCCAUUUGGCUUCGAUUUCUAUUUUUUGUCCAGCUUGCUUCCGCUGCCCUUCCAUUGGCUGACACAAACUUAUCCAAAUGUUUUGCCUCCCAUUCCCAGCAUGUGAAAUGAUUCCAAUUUUAAACCUUUUAAUUCUCUAAUUUCACCCACGAAUAUGUGUAUAUAUUUUAUAAUUCAGCCAUCCCCAAUUCUCCAAGCUGCCUUGAAUUUUGAC